AUUAGGCUCCAUCAAACUCUAAUGUAUCUUGUUCCUAUCAUAUUUAAGCCAGAAACAGAUACAUAAAAAAAACAACAACGUGCAAACUAACCUUCAGAGAAUAUAAAUAUGUAGAUACCAAUAUUCAUUGACUUGUCCUCACCUGAGCCGCCGAGCACCACCACAAACUUGUUGUGCAGGAGCUGCCUGGCUUGACUCUGCGUCACAAACCUCAUGGCUGACUUCCAGGACGGCUGAACGAGCACAAGAAGUAUUAUUUUCACAUUUUCGUUCGUAUUUCAUUUCACUUUUCUUUCUCCGUGGGCACUGACAAAAACGAGCCAGCCGUCGUGAUGCGCUACCUUCACCAAACGGGGCCCAUGGGUUAGCUAGCUCCGGAGAAAGAAGGAGGAGUUCGCCCCAGCGCUCAUGAAGGGUCAGCAGAUUGAACCCGGCGAGUCCUAUCCCUCCAUCCUGAACAGACAAACAGGACACAGAAAAUAAAGCAGAGUCUGACAGCUGAAAGCUGUCCUGCUUCAUCAGUCUCCUCAAUCUUGCAUUGAUUUUAGGGCCCCAGGUGGGGGGAGAAACAGAAAAGAGUCAACAUGAAGUUUCUCAUCCAACAUGAUGUGAGAGGGAGACGAGGAGGUGAAGGAUAAAGCAAACGUUUCAACUGAGUGUCUGGGGAGAUGCUUUCUGACAAGCCUGUCAAGAUGAACUGACUGGACAACUCCCUCAGCAGCUCUUUAAAGGGCAUUUGUGUUGCACACACCUCCCACAAACACACACACACACCUCUUGUGUGUACUAUGCCUUAAGGUAACAUACACCAGCAAUGCACGCUGUUGCAACUAAUAAUAAAAUAACUGUCAGAUAAUGUAAUAUCUUGAGGUACAAUGUCCCUCUAUGCGAGUCUAAAUGUAAUAAAAAUCUGGUACUCUAAUCAUUUUUCCCCUUAAUAUUGUAAUGCAUUAUUAUAUUAACUGAAAAUGAUUACAUUAUAAGGGCCUGUAACUUUUCUCAAUUAUUCCAACACCAGUCUGCCGAGGAAUUUAUUUCAUUAACAGUGCUGCAAUGCAGAGUGUCUAUGGCCUUCAGAAACUAAAUUUAACACUUGUUAAGACA